rnacentral:rRNA from 1 species
GACGAACGCUGGCGGCGUGGAUUAGGCAUGCAAGUCGAACGGUAUCAUCCUUUCGGGGGUGAGAGAGUGGCGAACUGGUGAGUAACACGUAGGUUAUCUACCCUCAAGACGGGGACAACCCAGGGAAACUUGGGCUAAUACCGGAUGUGAGCAACUUUUAGUUGUUUGAAAGGUGGCGUAAGCUGUCGCUUGGGGAUGAGCCUGCGUCCUAUUAGUUAGUUGGUGAGGUAACGGCUCACCUAGGCAAUGAUAGGUAGGCGGCCUUAACGGGUGGUCGCCCACACUGGGAUUGAGAUACGGCCCAGACUCCUACGGGAGCAGCAGUCGAGAAUAGUCUACAAUGGUCGGAAGACUGAUAGUGCGACGCCGCGUGAACGAUGAAUCCCUUCGGGGUGUAAAGUUCUUUUAUAUGUGAGCAGUGCUUCUUAUAUUAACAGUAUGGGGAAGAGAUAUUAGCAUAUGAAUAAGCAACGGCUAACUCCGUGCCCAGCAGCCGCGGUAAU